UGCCCAGCAACUCCUAUCCCUACCUACUCGUAGUACUGGCCGGGAUUCGAGUAGCCUUAGGAAAGAUAGGGUAACCAAUCCCGGAGGGAACAUUGGUCGUAUGAUGACAGGUAAGG
rnacentral:ribozyme from 1 species